UACGUAGGCAGCGAGCGUUGUUCGGAGUUACUGGGCGUAAAGAGUGCGUAGGCGGUUUUCUAAGUUUGGUGUGAAAUCUCCCGGCUUAACUGGGAGGGUGCGCCGAAGACUGGAAGGCUUGAGUAUGGGAGAGGUAAGCGAAAUUCCUGGUGUAGCGGUGAAAUGCGUAGAUAUCAGGAGGAACACCUGCGGUGUAGACGGCUUACUGGACCAUAACUGACGCUGAGGCACGAAAGCGUGGGUAGCAAACAGG
rnacentral:rRNA from 1 species